rnacentral:rRNA from 1 species
GACGAACGCUGGCGGCGUGCCUAACACAUGCAAGUCGAACGGGGGUAGCAAUACCUCAGUGGCGAACGGGUGCGUAACACGUGAAGAAUUUGUCUAACGGCGGGGGAUAGCCGGCCCAACGGCCGGGUAAUACCGCGUACGACCUCUGGAGGGCAUCCUCUGGUGGUGAAAGCCGCAAGGCGCCGAUAGAGAACUUCGCGGCCUAUCAGCUAGUUGGCGGGGUAAUGGCCCACCAAGGCGACGACGGGUAGCUGGUCCGAGAGGAUGGCCAGCCACAUUGGGACUGAGACACGGCCCAGACUCCUACGGGAGGCAGCAGUGGGGAAUAUUGCGCAAUGGGCGAAAGCCUGACGCAGCGACGCCGCGUGUGGGAUGACGGCCUU